UACGUAGGGUGCGAGCGUUGUCCGGAUUUACUGGGCGUAAAGAGCGCGCAGGCGGUCGUUCAAGUCGAGUGUGAAAGCCCCCGGCUCAACUGGGGAGGGUCAUUCGAUACUGAUCGACUCGAAGGCAGGAGAGGGAAGUGGAAUUCCCGGUGUAGUGGUGAAAUGCGUAGAUAUCGGGAGGAACACCAGUGGCGAAGGCGACUUCCUGGCCUGUUCUUGACGCUGAGGCGCGAAAGCUAGGGGAGCAAACGGG
rnacentral:rRNA from 1 species